ACGAACGCUGGCGGCGUGCUUAACACAUGCACGUCGAACGGUGAAGCGAGUGCUUGCACUCGUGGAUCAGUGGCGAACGGGUGAGUAACACGUGAGUAACCUGCCCAUCACUCUGGGAUAAGCACUGGAAACGGUGUCUAAUACUGGAUACGACCAACCCUUGCAUGGGGUGUUGGUGGAAAGAUUUAUCGGUGAUGGAUGGACUCGCGGCCUAUCAGCUUGUUGGCGGGGUAAUGGCCCACCAAGGCGACGACGGGUAGCCGGCCUGAGAGGGUGACCGGCCACACUGGGACUGAGACACGGCCCAGACUCCUACGGGAGGCAGCAGUGGGGAAUAUUGCACAAUGGGCGAAAGCCUGAUGCAGCGACGCCGCGUGAGGGAUGACGGCCUUCGGGUUGUAAACCUCUUUCAGCAGGGAAGAAGCGAAAGUGACGGUACCUGCAGAAGAAGCACCGGCUAACUACGUG
rnacentral:rRNA from 1 species